rnacentral:rRNA from 1 species
AAGGUCCUACGGGGGGCAGCAGUGGGGAAUAUUGCACAAUGGGCGCAAGCCUGAUGCAGCGACGCCACGUGCGGGAUGGAGGCCUUCGGGUUGUAAACCGCUUUUGUUCAAGGGCAAGGCACGGUCUUUGGCCGUGUUGAGUGGAUUGUUCGAAUAAGCACCGGCUAACUACGUGCCAGCAGCCGCGGUAAUACGUAGGGUGCAAGCGUUAUCCGGAUUUAUUGGGCGUAAAGGGCUCGUAGGCGGUUCGCCGCGUCCGGCGUGCAAGUCCAUCGCUUAACGGUGGAUCCGCGCCGGUCACGUGG